GUCGUCGUGCACCAGGGCGCAGGCGUGCAGCAGCUCCAGUGCCGAGAACAGCCGCAGCACGGCGGCAUCGGGUUCGGUGCCCGCGACGGCGC
rnacentral:tRNA from 1 species